UUCAGAAUCUGCUUCUCUUCCUGUUUGGUGAGCGUCACUCGUAUGAACCGUUACAAAAAUGGGGAUGUUUCAGAACUGAUCAAAGCUACUGUCCUCACCCUCCCAAAAAAGGCUCGCAUGGAUGCACUUCUUCCAUGAGUUGCCGUUCAUAAAGAUAGAAGCGCCCUCAAGGAAGUCAGAACAGAGAAAGGCCACAAUGGAAACUCUGUGGAAAGGAGAAACUGACUGCUGAAGACCAAUUCGGAGCUUGAAUCAUUUAAGGAGAAGGGUUCUGGAAUAACAAGAUGCUGUGGGAGUGAGGCCUAAAACCCUCAUUUAUUCAAAUAUGCCACUUCCUCUCAGAGCAUCUGAAUAAUGGCACACA